CAACAAUUUGGUUUGAUUAAAUCAAACGAUUAAAUAAGAAUAUUUAAUAUAUGAUUUAUCCUCAGAGAUGUGAGUAAUCCGUUCCUUUUGGCUGCAAGGAAGUUCCAAAAACUAUUCCGGUUAGCUCCACUCUCUGAUGAGGACCAAAUUUCUCAGCUUGACAGCCAACUUAGAGCUUCCAGCGAUCGACUCAAAAAAAGGUUCUAGCUUCAUAUCUGGAAACUAGGUUCUAGCUGCAUUGCGAUUUUUCGCAGCCGGAUUUUAUCAACGACCAGUAGGGGAGCGUUGGGGAGUAUCCAUGAGCCAGCCCUGCAUUAUUGUGUAACAGAUGCAAUCAGCCGCUCCUUUUUUUGCGCAAGGGUGAUGUCUCCUAUGACCUAAGUGGAGCGGCAAGCUGCAAAUGAAAUUUUCGACUGAGUUGCUCGGCUGUGACGCGGCUUCUAAGUAUCAAGUCAACAUAAAUUUAAACUAAA